GCGGGCGCUGGUCGAGCACCUGGCGAUGCACCCCGCGACGGUGCGCCGCGUGUGCCUGCGGCUCGCGCGCCGGUUCGUCUCCGACUCCCCGCCC
rnacentral:tRNA from 1 species